rnacentral:piRNA from 1 species
UGACGGAUGCCAGGAGGUGAGUUUCAUG